AAAAGAGAAAAAAAAAGAUGGUGAAAAGGAAGACUCCAAAAAGGAGGAAACUCCAGGAACUCCUAAAAAGAAGGAAACUAAGAAAAAAUUCAAACUUGAGCCACAUGAUGAUCAGGUUUUUCUGGAUGGAAAUGAGGUGAGAGUAAGCCUAUAACUAGAAGUUCAGUUUUCUGUAGGAGUUUUUAGAAAUAUGUUUGAUGCCUUCACUAAUAAAAGGAAAAAUUUUGAGAAAUCUAAUUAUGCACUUAAAUGUAUAAAAGCUACUCUAUUUUUAAAAAUCAAUAAUUUCUCUUAUUUAGAUUUUUAAAAGUCAGAUUUGACUGUGAGUGAUAGGAAACCUGAAAUAAAAGCAUCUUAAUACAAAACAGAUGCUUAUUUCUUUUUUAUCAGUGAAAUCUGUAGGUAAGCUAUACAGAUAUGUCAGCUCCAUGGUGGAUCCCAGCUCUUCUUUUCUCCUCUGUCUGAGGCUUCUAGCUAAGGUUACCUUAUGGUCCAGAAUGACUGCCAACCUUAUAUCUGCAUCGAAAAGAGGAAAGGAGAGUGAAGAAUAUGUCUCCUCUUUAAGGAGACCACUUUAAGGACACUGUCCAGAAAGCUGGCAAUUUCAUUUCUGCUUGAAUUCCAUUGGCCAGAACAUAGUCACAUGGUCAUGCAUAUGAGAAGUAAAAUCUUGGAAAUGCACUUUUUAUACAGGGUGAUUAUUUGCCCAGCUGAAAUGUAGGGUUUCCAUUAUUAUCAAAGAAAAAAGAGCAGAAUAGGAGAUAGCUACAAGUCUCUAUCUAUGACAGAAUGUAAGUCAGACACAUCACUUGAGGGGCUUAA
rnacentral:sRNA from 1 species